UGGGUAAUCUGCCCUCGGCACUGGGAUAGCCCGGGGAAACCCGGAUUAAUACCGGAUAGCCUCACGGUUCCUCGGAACCGUGAGAAAAGGUGGCUUCGGCUUCCGGCUGAGGAGGAGCCUGCGGCGGAUUAGCUUGUUGGUGAGGUAACGGCUCACCAAGGCGACGAUCUGUAGCUGGUCUGAGAGGACGAUCAGCCACACUGGGACUGAGACACGGCCCAGACCUCCGUACGGG
rnacentral:rRNA from 1 species